rnacentral:rRNA from 1 species
UACGUAGGGGGCGAGCGUUGUCCGGAUUUAUUGGGCGUAAAGAGCUCGUAGGCGGUUUAGCAAGUCGGGUGUGAAAACUCCGGGCUCAACUCGGAGACGCCACUCGAUACUGCUAUGACUCGAGUCCGGUAGGGGAGUGCGGAAUUCCUGGUGUAGCGGUGAAAUGCGCAGAUAUCAGGAGGAACACCGGUGGCGAAGGCGGCACUCUGGGCCGGUACUGACGCUGAGGAGCGAAAGCGUGGGGAGCGAACAGG